rnacentral:rRNA from 1 species
CAGCAGCCGCGGUAAUACGUAGGACGCGAGCGUUAUCCGGAUUUACUGGGCGUAAAGCGCGGGCAGGCGGUGGUCCAAGUCGGACGUGAAAGCUCCCGGCUCAACUGGGAGAGGUCGUUCGAAACUGGGCCGCUAGAGGGCAGUAGAGGGGCGUGGAAUUCCGGGUGGAGUGGUGAAAUGCGUAGAGAUCCGGAGGAACACCAGAGGCGAAGGCGGCGCCCUGGGCUGCACCUGACGCUGAGCCGCGAAAGCUAGGGGAGCGAACGGGAUUAGAAACCCCGGUAGUCCUAGCCGUAAACGAUGUCCACUAGAUGUCUGGGCGGAGCGCCUGGGCGUCGCAGCUAACGCGUUAAGUGGACCGCCUGGGGAGUACGGCCGCAAGGCUAAAACUCAAAGGAAUUGACGG